rnacentral:rRNA from 1 species
GAUGAACGCUGGCGGCGUGCCUAAUACAUGCAAGUCGAGCGAACAGACGAGGAGCUUGCUCCUCUGACGUUAGCGGCGGACGGGUGAGUAACACGUGGAUAACCUACCUAUAAGACUGGGAUAACUUCGGGAAACCGGAGCUAAUACCGUAUAACAUGUUGAACCGCAUGGUUCAGCAGUGAAAGACGGUCUUGCUGUCACUUAUAGAUGGAUCCGCGCCGCAUUAGCUAGUUGGUAAGGUAACGGCUUACCAAGGCAACGAUGCGUAGCCGACCUGAGAGGGUGAUCGGCCACACUGGAACUGAGACACGGUCCAGACUCCUACGGGAGGCAGCAGUAGGGAAUCUUCCGCAAUGGGCGAAAGCCUGACGGAGCAACGCCGCGUGAGUGAAGAAGGUCUUCGGAUCGUAAAACUCUGUUAUUAGGGAAGAACAAAUGUGUAAGUAACUAUGCACGUCUUGACGGUACCUAAUCAGAAAGCCACGGCUAACUACGUG